rnacentral:rRNA from 1 species
CCUACGGGGGGCUGCAGUGAGGAAUAUUGGUCAAUGGACGAGAGUCUGAACCAGCCAAGUAGCGUGAAGGAUGACUGCCCUAUGGGUUGUAAACUUCUUUUAUAUGGGAAUAAAACAGGGUAUGCAUACCCUCUUGUAUGUACCAUAUGAAUAAGGAUCGGCUAACUCCGUGCCAGCAGCCGCGGUAAUACGGAGGAUCCGAGCGUUAUCCGGAUUUAUUGGGUUUAAAGGGUGCGCAGGCGGGCUGUUAAGCCGGCGGUAAAAAUUCAGGGCUCAACCCUGUCGAACCGUUGGAACUGGCAGUCUUGAGUGGGCGAGAAGUAUGCGGAAUGCGUGGUGUAGCGGUGAAAUGCAUAGAUAUCACGCAGAACGCCGAUUGCGAAGGCAGCACACCGGCGCCCAACUGACGCUGAGGCACGAAAGCGUGGGGAUCGAACAGGAUUAGAUACCCGGGUAGUC